UACGUAGGGUGCAAGCGUUGUCCGGAAUUACUGGGCGUAAAGAGUUCGUAGGCGGUUUGUCGCGUCGCUUGUGAAAACCAGCAGCUCAACUGCUGGCUUGCAGGCGAUACGGGCAGACUAGAGUACUGCAGGGGAGACUGGAAUUCCUGGUGUAGCGGUGAAAUGCGCAGAUAUCAGGAGGAACACCGGUGGCGAAGGCGGGUCUCUGGGCCUAGUGAACGUGCUGAGGAGCGAAAGCGUGGGGAGCGAACAGG
rnacentral:rRNA from 1 species